GCAUAACUCAAUGGGUAGAGUGCUUGCCUAGCAGGCAUGAGGUCCUGGGUUCAAUCCCCAUCAUUGCA
rnacentral:tRNA from 1 species